AGUAGGACACGGAUCAGGUGUUGCACAAAACAGAGGGGCUGCCUUCAUCCGCGAGCCGUCACUAACACCAGAGAGUCACAAAGUUUCAUCUAGCGCCAAGUGUAACAUACAGACAACCCCACAUCAGGGAGACAAUCUGCUGCAAGGAACAGAGAUUAUCACUUCUCCGCCUAACGUGCAGGCGCCAUCAGGAGCUGCUUACAGCGUGCUAGAUGGGUCUACAAACAAGGCUCACAAAAGUGUUGUCGGAAAAAGGUCUCGAACAUCACCGUCCAAGAAGGUUGCCAAGAAACUUUUUAGAGAUGAAGACACAGGAGAUGACGAUGUUGCUGGUUCCGCAGACGUUGAUGCUGAGUAGCG